GAUAAGCGCUGGCGGCGCACAUAAGACAUGCAAGUCGAACGGACUUAACCAUUAGUUUACUGAUGGAGCGGUUAGUGGCGGACUGGUGAGUAACGCGUAAGCAAUCUGCCUAUCAGCAGGGAACAACAGGUAGAAAUGACUGCUAAUACCGCAUAUGCCUAAGUACCACAUGGUACAAUAGGGAAAGGAGCAACUCCGCUGAUAGAUGAGCUUGCGUCUGGUUAGAUAGUUGGUGGGGUAACGGCCUACCAAGUCGACGAUCAGUAGCCGGACUGAGAGGUUGAACGGCCACAUUGGGACUGAGAUACGGCCCAGACUCCUACGGGAGGCAGCAGUCGGGAAUAUUGCGCAAUGGAGGAAACUCUGACGCAGUGACGCCGCGUGCAGGAAGAAGGUUUUCGGAUUGUAAACUGCUUUAGACAGGGAAGAAACAAGACAGUACCUGUAGAAUAAGCUCCGGCUAACUACGUGCCAGCCGCCGCUGUAAAAC
rnacentral:rRNA from 1 species